GAUUUGUUCUUGGAUUCUUCAAUAAAACAGUAAAUUAAAUCAAGGAAAUAAAACUGGAAUAUAACGUAAGGUUAAAUCCGGUAUAAAGUUGCACAAUAGUUUCCGGUGUAGAAACUAUUAUGCGAAAAAUAUCUAAAAGCUAAAAUGGAAAGGUAAAUUUGCAAGGAAAAAGAAUGUAAAGCUUGCAAAAGAAAUAAAUAAAAUAAACAACGCUGGAAAGAAAAAAUAAGCAAAAGCGUGAAAAGAAAAUUUGGCAGAGCUUCGGCAAUAUGAGCGUGGAAAAACCGAGAGACCUUUAGGUUUUUGAGAUGGCUAUUUAUAAUAGUGUUGGCAACUGCUU
rnacentral:lncRNA from 1 species